UUGGUGGUAACUGAAUUAUAGAGAAGUUACGUCUUUCCACAAUUGAAUCCAAAAAUGAUAAGGUGGUUAAGGGAUCUUACCUGAUAGGGUAUUGCAACAGACAGCAUCUCUGAGUUUCAAAUAAAACACACAUAUUUUGCACAUACCUGACUUUUAUUGUUAUAAUGGGCAAUACCAUUUUUCUCUCUGAAUAGAUCCAGAGCAGGAUCUUGCAUUUUUUCAUGUGGCAAAGAGGGGAAGUACACAUGGACGGUUUAAUUUGCUUGGUGGUCAGUGGUUAGAACCAAAUUUAGUAGGUUUUUGUUUUCUUUUUUUUGCUUUUUUUGUUUUGUUUUAUUCUGGCUACCACUAGUACAUGAUUAGUAGUAAGGAAGAGAAGGAAUCCUUUUUUACUUAGAAUGAUCUUUUGAAAGGAGUCAAUAUCAAUCUCUUGCCCCCAGAGAAGAUUCCCUUGAAAAUUAUUAAAAGUUGCCUAAGCAGUAAAGUUUCUCUGGUUUGUUUAUGGGAUAUUUGUCAUUUAUUUAUUCAAAUGUAUUACUCUUUGUUGUGAACACACUCCUGUUUGUGAGUUUAUUACCCUUGGUCUUAGCAUUUACAUAGCGCUUCUAUUUUAACAAGGAUAUGCUGCAGUCAUUUUUAUUAGUUAUUCCUCACAGCACCCUGGUGAAAUAGAACAUUAUUGCACUUAUUUCAUAGAUAAAGAACAAACUCAAGCAGAGCUGGAAGUAUGGCCAUUUUUAAUUGACGUAUUCAGAAUUAAGGGAUGUGACUUCAAGGUUCAUUGUUUCACCAGUUGCCAGUGGGGAGUCUAAGCUGAAAUGCCUGCCACAGGAGGAUAGGACUACAUUUUAAUGAAAUCAGCAGAAGUAAGUCUCAGUGCAUUUUUAUCAUAAUUUAAGGCCUAGUUGAAGCAUGAUAAAUGAUCCUUGUCUCUGAUCAUUAUGCUACCUGAACAGCGAUAUGUCAUUCAUGUCUUCCCAUUGUACUUUUGGAACUGCCACAGGGGUAGCAAAUGU
rnacentral:lncRNA from 1 species